GUCAGCGUUUUGAUUACAAUGGAAAGGUGUGCGACUAUGAUUGACUACCCAUCGACGGACCUCACUGUGGUUAACCUCGUGGCCCGGCUUCGUAGUAUAUAAGCCAUGUGGUUUCAGAAACAGCUGAUCCGGCCAAGAACUAGCUGAUCCAAUGCGAAACGACAGCUCGCAUAUAAAACAAAAGGACUUACAAUUUAAUGAACUGUUUGAAUUAAAUUAUACAAAAAGUGAUUAAACAUAAAAGAAAUGGAACUUAUCAAAUUUGUAACAUGUUGCUGUCUUGCUUCCAUCUUAUUGACAGAUGUCAUACUGGCAUCUCCAACUAGAUCACGUGACAUAAUUUCUGAAGCUGAACGUCUAGAAUAUGCAAUUGAAGAAGGUUUAUCAGUAUAUAGGACUGAAAAGAAAAGACGACGACGACACCGUCGCAGAACGAAUUUACUCAUUGAAGCAAUGCGAAUGUGCCGUAAUUUCCGACAUUACCCACGAGAAAGAAUACCUGAGCGAUGCAGGGACAUGAUUUUUAGGCAAGACGACCGUCGGAGGGGUCACAAUGGACCAACAAUUGUCAUUAUAGAAAAAUAGAUAAAUGCACUGACACUUUUUGGAAUAAACUCAGGAAUAUUAUACCAAGUCGGUAAAAAGGAACAAACAUCAAACAGUCGAAGAUUUUGCAUCGGAAUAUUACAAUGAGAAAAAGUGCGAAUAAAGCUGUAUUAUAACAAUGAUAUAUAGAACAAAACGUGGCAAAGGAACAAUACAUUUGUUUCAGUUCCUCUUGCUUGCAUGCCUGUAUGUAUGAAUGUAUUUUUUACGAAUGACUGCAGGAUCGAGAUUUCUCUAUUUUCUAAUGUCCUCUUGUCGGACUUACUUUUGGGCCCAAAGUAAGUUCAAUUAAAAAUUCACCAAGUGAUGAAAGAGUCUCGAUCAAUGUAUGAAUGGGUUUGAGUUGUUAUUUAUUAAGGAGCAGAGUUGAUACGAGCAUGUUAGUAUAAUGUUUCAGGAGUUGGUACAAGAGAUGUAGUGGUAUGAUGCAUGAAAUUGAUACAAAGAUUUGGUACAAAAAUGUUUGGAAUAUUAUACAUUAUUCCUUUAACGUAAAAUAAGUUAACCUAAAAAUCAUGACUUUUAAUUGCUGAUCUCAAUCAAUUUGAAUGAAAGAGAAGAUAAAAUGGUCAGAUUUCAAGGAUUGAGAAUAUUAUCUGGUAGUUGGUGCAAAUACGCACAUCAUUUUAUAUUCAUAAACUUUCUGUCUCUCUAAUGCAUUUUACAUCAAACAUUUGUGCAAUAUUUUUCUCAUGUAAACUUUUGAGGAGUGUAUUAUAUAAUUAUGAUUUCUGCAAUAUUUGCAGUGAUAAAAUGGCCAAAUUUUAUAGAUUAUUGAUAUUUUGAUAUCAAAAAUCAUAUUUAAUUUAUUAAUAAAAGUUUUUUGAAAACUG